rnacentral:rRNA from 1 species
AAUCAUUUGUCNNUNAAAUGAAGACCAGUAUGAAAGGCACCACGAGGGCUCGACUGUCUCCUCUUUCCAGUCAAUGAAAUUGAUCUCCCCGUGCAGAAGCGGGGAUAACAUCAUAAGACGAGAAGACCCUAUGGAGCUUUAGACACGAAGCAGAUCAUGUCAAUCAACCCGAACAAAGGACCAAACCUAGUGAGACCUGCUACAAUGUCUUAGGUUGGGGCGACCAUGGAGUAACAAAAACCCUCCACGUGGAAUGGGAGUAUGUUAUAAUUAUUCCGUUACCUCACACACCUCCCAAAAUCAAGGGCUGCGGCCCUAGAUAUCAGAAUUUCUGACCUAAAUUGAUCCGGCAGUGCCGAUUAGCGGACCAAGUUACCCUAGGGAUAACAGCGCAAUCCCCUUUUNGAGUCCA